AGUGCCUGAUCCACCGAAACCCGCUCCCAAGAAGGGCGCCAAGAAAGCUCCGUCCAAACCGGCGAGCAAGUCUGGCAAGAAGCGCAAGAGGUCGAGGAAGGACAGUUACAAAGUGCUGAAGCAGGUUCACCCCGACACCGGCAUCUCCUCCAAGGCCAUGAGCAUCAUGAAUUCAUUCGUGAACGAUAUCUUCGAGCGCAUCGCGGGUGAGGCUUACCGCCUGGCCGACUACAACAAGCGGUCCACCAUCAGCUCCCGGGAGAUCCAGACCGCCGUGCGCCUGCUGCUGCCCGGGGAGCUGGCCAAGCACGCCGUGUCCGAAGGAACAAUGGCGGUGACCAAGUACACCAGCUCCAAGUAAAGACAACUUUACUGACAAAACAAACGGGAAAUUCAAAGGAUCAUUUAAGAGCCACUCACGCUUUCAUUAAAAGAGUUACAAAAUAUUGAGCCAUGGACUUGAGACAGCUGCACCAUAGACCCUGAAAGUGACAUCAGGAAUAUCUUCUCCGCAAGUUACAGUGAGCAUCUGGGUUAAAACUGAUCAACAGCACAAGGAAAAUAUGUGCGAAAGUCUGAGAUGCAUAUUCCCACAUAGCUGUCCAGAACACAGCAGGUAACCGUUUGAAUGAAGGUUCCCAGCCCGAGCUGUCGACUGGUUGCUGAGUUCCUCCAACAUUCUCUGUGUGUUUGCUUCUGUUUGUUUAUUGAUUAAAAUAAUCAGACUGGUUCAGUGGAAGAGGAAUUUGUGGAAUGGUCAGAGACAGUUUCAUACAGUAGUUUAUUUACCCAGGAACAUGCCAUUUCAGUUGUAAUCUGUGUAAAGAGGUGGUAUUACAGAGAGUUCUUGCGGUGAAGGAUCCUGAAUAUGAGCAGUGGCAGAUGUUUAAGGAGAAGGUUCGUUAGAGCCGACAUUUAUCCCGAUCAGACAGAGGAAUCACAGGGAGCAAACAACAGUCUGUGGUUAAAAGAGUUCAAGAAUUUUGUUGAGAAAUCUGUCCGCGACCAAGGCAGUUCAUACUGGAUUGGAAAAUGCAACUAUGGGAGAGUGGCCUCGAAUAUCGUGUUCCAAAUGAAGGCUGGAGUCUUCGAAUGCAUUGAAUGUGGAUGGUACCCUCACUUUGAACAUUGCAGUGAGGAUAAGCGUUGCUUCAUCUGCGAGAAGUCGGCGCUUCUGUGCUC